UCGGGUUUGGUCUCCACGGAGACAUGGCGCCGGCGCCCACGCUGGUUCAGCUGGAUGCAGUCUGAAACCCGGACUUGCUGAGUUCGGUGAAGACAUACCACCAAAUCAUCCUGGCCCUUGGCGUGUAGCACCACCAGCUGGUCCUGACCACUUGUCACACUCAACCCAGUCACCUGGAGGGAAGAGAGCGCUGUCUGUUGGAUUCCCUCCCCAUCCUCAGGGCCAGCCUCGGCUGUAGCUCUUCCAAGACACCGCUCCUGACCCCUCAAAGUGAAAGUGAG